UACGUAGGGUGCGAGCGUUAAUCGGAAUUACUGGGCGUAAAGCGUGCGCAGGCGGUUUGAUAAGACAGGCGUGAAAUCCCCGAGCUCAACUUGGGAAUGGCGCUUGUGACUGUCAGGCUAGAGCAUGUCAGAGGGGGGUAGAAUUCCACGUGUAGCAGUGAAAUGCGUAGAGAUGUGGAGGAAUACCGAUGGCGAAGGCAGCCCCCUGGGACGUCACUGACGCUCAUGCACGAAAGCGUGGGGAGCAAACAGG
rnacentral:rRNA from 1 species